CGCGUGUAGCAGUGAAAUGCGUAGAUAUCAGGAGGAACACCGAUGGCGAAGGCAGCCCCCUGGGCCAUGACUGACACUCAUGCACGAAAGCGUGGGGAGCAAACAGGAUUAGAUACCCUGGUAGUCCACGCCCUAAACGAUGUCUAUUAGUUGUUGGGUCUUCAUUGACUUAGUAACGAAGCUAACGCGUGAAAUAGACCGCCUGGGGAGUACGGCCGCAAGGUUAAAACUCAAAGGAAUUGACGGGGACCCGCACAAGCGGUGGAUGAUGUGGAUUAAUUCGAUGCAACGCGAAAAACCUUACCUACCCUUGACAUGCUAGGAAUCCCGCAGAGAUGUGGGAGUGCUCGAAAGAGAACCUGGACACAGGUGCUGCAUGGCUGUCGUCAGCU
rnacentral:rRNA from 1 species